rnacentral:rRNA from 1 species
GAUGAACGCUGACAGAAUGCUUAACACAUGCAAGUCAACUUGAAUUUGGGUUUUUAACUUAGAUUUGGGUGGCGGACGGGUGAGUAACGCGUAAAGAACUUGCCUCACAGCUAGGGACAACAUUUAGAAAUGAAUGCUAAUACCUGAUAUUAUGAUUUUAAGGCAUCUUAGAAUUAUGAAAGCUAUAAGCACUGUGAGAGAGCUUUGCGUCCCAUUAGCUAGUUGGAGAGGUAACAGCUCACCAAGGCGAUGAUGGGUAGCCGGCCUGAGAGGGUGAACGGCCACAAGGGGACUGAGACACGGCCCUUACUCCUACGGGAGGCAGCAGUGGGGAAUAUUGGACAAUGGACCGAGAGUCUGAUCCAGCAAUUCUGUGUGCACGAUGAAGUUUUUCGGAAUGUAAAGUGCUUUCAGUUGGGAAGAAAUAAAUGACGGUACCAACAGAAGAAGUGACGGCUAAAUACGUGCCAGCAGCCGCGGUAAUACGUAUGUCACGAGCGUUAUCCGGAUUUAUUGGGCGUAAAGCGCGUCUAGGUGGUUAUGUAAGUCUGAUGUGAAAAUGCAGGGCUCAACUCUGUAUUGCGUUGGAAACUGUAUAACUAGAGUACUGGAGAGGUAAGCGGAACUACAAGUGUAGAGGUGAAAUUCGUAGAUAUUUGUAGGAAUGCCGAUGGGGAAGCCAGCUUACUGGACAGAUACUGACGCUAAAGCGCGAAAGCGUGGGUAGCAAACAGG